rfam:Oryza brachyantha chromosome 7, whole genome shotgun sequence.
CUUUCUUCGAAGAACUGAUAAAAUUAGAACAAUACAAAGAAUAUUAGAAUGGCCGAUGUAUAAGUAUGACACACACAAAUUAAGAAAUACUCUUUUUUUUG